ACCGCCCUCACGGACCCGCGGCGCGCUCCUGCCAGCCCUUAGAGCCCCUACCACCCCUUAUCCCCUCGGUUUCGCCGUCCUUCCCAUUCCUCGCCCCUCUGCUGUUCUCCUCAUCCGCAGAACGAGCCUCCUUUACCUGGGAUACAGGGAUGUCGCGGGACGCGGCGGUGAAGGCACGCGAGCUCCGAGCAUCCAUGAGUAAACUCCGCAAAUACAGCCAUACGGCGGCAUUCCCCCUGCUUGGCCAAAUGCAAGACAAUUCAGUGCAAACACCCGUAUUUUUUAAUGAUUUACGGGUCGAUUAUUGGGAAGAAAUUCUUCCUUGGGAAGGAAUUGUUCUGUGAGUGUUGGGAGGCCCUGGCACAGGUUGCCCAGAGAAGCUGUGGCUGCCCCAUCCCUGGAAGUGUCCAAGGCCAGGUUGGACGGGGCUUGGAGCAACCUCGGACAGUGGAAGGUGUCCCUGCCCAUGGCAGGGGGUGGGACUGGAUGAGCUUUAAGGUCCUUCCCACCCAGACCAUCCUGUGAUUUUGUGAAUUCCACUGAAGUUUCUUGGAUAACCAGUUCUUCAGAGACAACAGAUGUCACUUUUCUUAUUUCCCCUGCAAAUGCGCUGUUUCCAAACCAAUUCCUAUUGUUUCUUCAAUCUCAUUGCUUAGUGCUUUUUAUUAAUAUAUCCAAGAAAGUAUUUCCCUCAUUAUUUUAAAAAGUUCCCUUAUUCCCCAACUGCAAUAAUGUUUUUCCUUUAGCCACCACGUUGAAUGCAGAUUUAAAAAGUGCAUUAAGUUAUUAGUGUAUUAGUUCGAAAGUGAGUCAUUAAUCUAACGCCCUUUCUUGUUAAUUAACAGCCAUACUGUAUGUUUGAUUGUACUAUGUUCUCUGCGUGCAAAACCCUCUCUGUUUUUCUCAAUGCACCAAUUAACUCAUUUUUAAUUUCCCUCUAAAGCCCAAAAUAACACUUUGCCUCCUCCUGCACCUUACAAAGAAAAGAAGUUGGAAUCUUGAAUGAAAUCCAGGAUCUACUGGUCCAGAGUAACUCCUCCUGUAUUACUACUCUGAGUGAAAGAACAGCAAGUAUAAAACCAAAUAUUUGAAAAACCCAUACAGCAAUGUAGGCAGAACACCUGUGCCAGAAUACUCUGGAAAUUUCUGGAAAGUUUUGCUUUUUAUUUUGCAUUUAAUGGCUUAUAUGGCUUUAAACUAAUCUCUUGAUGUUAUUCAUUGUGUAUGAUUAUAUUAAAGUCUUAACACCUUAAAUCAAUAGUAACAAUAAACCAGCUAGCAGCCUGUUAACACCUUAUUACAAGCUCCUUGUUCACACAGCAAAAGAAUAGUGAAAAUAGUAUAAAGUGACUAAUGGAAACCAGAGCCCACCUUUACCCCCACGGUACUGCCAGACCUGCUAGAGCAGAGUCAGCACAGAAAAUGGUCUAGCAGGAAACACCAAACAACAGAAGAACAAAAAAAUAUAUAGAUUUAAACAUCAGUGCUUCAUUACUACACUGAGAAAUAUAUAACAGAGAAAAUGAGUAGUUAUUAAUUCAGAUAGGAGUAAGAUCAAAUCUUAUAUUUCUUAUAUUUGUGCUUUCAAUUGUCCCACAGAAAUUUUGAUUCAAACUUCCAUUCUGCAAUUCUGUGAAUGGAGCUGUCAUUUCUACUUUUCAACCUGCAACACAGAAAUUUAGCUCCAGAAUUCUCACAGGGCUGGAUCAUCCUGACCUAAAUGUCUUGUGUUCAGGAACAAAGCAUCACUCUAUUGGUUAGAUCAGAUAAGACAAAUUCCCCUUGCACAUCCUUUUCCUGCUGAGGGAAGGCACACUCAUGAAAAUAUAACAUCAUCGUGAAACCCUUUUGUUAUUGUUUAACAUAACUCUAGGACUGUGCUGGAGCAGAGCUAUUUCACUGUCAAUGUCUUACUGUUUCUCAAGUGCUUAAGUAUUUAUCCCACCACAAAAUGCUGUUGUUUGGUGCUGUGAGUUCCUGGGAGCUUCAUUCAUAAGAUGCAAUCAGUGCAAUCCUAUUUCAUGAUGACAGUCAUUAUCCACUGGACCAGAAAUCCUCCUUAGUACUAUUUAUUUGACAAAAAUGAUUAUUCAGGAUCUUUAACCACAAGGUUUGUCAGUCCCACACAACACAAAAAUAUUUCUCUGUACUUUUACAGUUUUAAUAUCUGCAAAUGUAGAAGUGAAAUAUGUAAGUAUGAAUAAUUUUUUAUGAGAAUUUCAUGGACCUUGAGAAAAUGUCUUGCCAUGUUUUUCUCUUUAGCUAUUUAAUUGCAAUGUCAUAUUAACAGAAAGCAGCAUACCCAAUUCUGCAUGGAUGAAUAAACACAUUCAAUAAAGAAGAUUUAACAGAGUAAAUCAAACACUGGAUUAAACAUUUUCUGCAUAACAGACCACAAAAUGGGCAUUCAUUUUACCAAUAGAUCCUCUACAUUAGAAACAAAUAGAAAUGCACACCAACAUAAUUAAACUGCACAUCCUGUGGCCUGAUUACUGAAUUUCCCUGUAUUUUGUUAAACUAGGUCUCAUCAAUUAGAAUUGCCAAAAUGCAUUCCAAAAUGCAUACAGAAAAACUAAAUGUAAUUCUUUUAACCAUUUGUAUUCAAUACAUUUCCCCCUAUGUUUUAUGAAGUAAUUCACAAUCCUAUGUAUUGCAGGGGAUUUAUACAGCGUUUUUAGCAAAAACAAUUCAGAAGGAUACAUAAAAAGAUCAAUUUUAAGACUCCACUUUGAGCAGUUCUAAAUACUUUUCCUGUAAGCAACUCUUCCUACUUUGAUUUCCAGCAAAACAUCUCUCCUAAAAACAUGGUGUUUUGCUUUAUAACUUUUAUUUGGGAUUUUCACAUAUUCAUAGAAGUGCCUCUGUUACUUUAAAGUCUGUGUAGUUAACAUUUACCUCUAUCAAAAUGCAUUUCAGAAAUGUAGUGAUCUGAGCAAAACCUCAUGUUUUAAGUUCCCAGGGAGAAACACUGAAGCUCGAAAGAAAAUCAGCAAGAAUCAGCAUUAGAAUGAUGGAGUUUCCCGUUAUUUCGAGAUCUAGUCUCAGAUCAUUUGAUCAAAUGUGUCUCCCUCCAAAAACAAACAGCAAAUGCUUCAUAUUCCCUAGGAUGAAUUUUAAUUUUUUCGCGUUACAGCCUCUUUAUCCUGCGGUGACUUCACGUGUGAAAUCUCAUUAUUCAUUCUAUUAUUCCCUCAAUGGCUACAGAAUUUAAUUCUCCUCGAGUACCAGUUUGAAUAAGGAUCAGCAGCAGGAUCGGGCCUAUUAGCUGCUUGAAACAUCUCGUGAAUAACCCGAUUUAUCCCAACCAAAUGGCUCAUUAGUUCGGGCAGCAGGGAAAUGUUUGUGUGUUGCUGCAGUUCUGCGUGGUUUUCAUAUGGAGUUUGCAGUUAUACAACUGCUCAAGCAUGAACCAACUGGAUUGUUCAUUAACCACAGGAACAGCCACUCUGUGCUCAAGCAUGUUUAGCAAAAAAUUAGUUGUUUCCAAAUUUAGUCCAAACUCCCAGACACCUUUAUUCUAUCUCCUCCUUGGUUACCACUAUCUGAGUUUUUCUCUCUUCCUGUAGUUAGUCCUAAUCGUGCCCUCAAAUCUUAUCUUUUAUUAAUGGCAUUAGACCCUAAGGUACAAAUUCUCAGUGAGAUGGAGAUACUCAGUUCCCAUGGAUGGGAUGAAUAUUCCUCUGAUACAGUCAUCUUGGCCUUGGUACGUCAGUGAACUGAACAGAGCUUAAAAACUCUGAAUAAUAAACCCACAUUCUCUACCUGAGGAGCACUGGAACUAAUGUUGAAGUUGCCCUUUUGAUUACUAAGAUGUGGGCAAAUUAUAGGAUUGUUUAGGGAGAUGGGGAAAGAAUUACAUGUCACUUGACUUCUGUAAGCAGGCAAGGCAAGGAAGGAGUCUGUUUUUCCAGCCUUUAAUUAAUGACAAUCUGCAACAAUUCUGCAGGUCUCUCAUGGCAGUCAAAACUUUCUUGUACAAAAUGAACACAGAGGAGAGAAAAAACAGGAUCAUGGUUUUGAUCAGGCUGCUCUGCCCAGCCUGGAUGGCAGAGGAUGGAAAGAAAGCUCCACUCCAGCUAAAUUGAGAAUUACCAAUGAGUUUUCCAGGUCUCCAGGUCUCCUAAAGCUACAGAUGUGCAGCAUGAAGGAGAUUGUCUUUGCAGCAGCCUCAAAAUGCAGGGUUUUUUUUAUGCUACAGGAUAAUCUUUAAUCUUAAAAUAGCUGAUGAACCUUGGAUGACUAAUAUGCUGCAGUUUUCAUUGCUUGUCUCUCAGAGACGUGGAGGAAAACUUACUUUAGGAAUUGGAGACAUGGAGAACUACUGGUGGUAGAAUCAGACUGCAUCUUGAUUUACAAUGAGCUAACCCCAUGUUAUUAUGUACAUUAUAUAGGGUCAGUCAUGGGUUUAUUUGGCUUGAUUACUUCUCUUGUAGUGGUCACUAAAAUAAUGACCACAGUUGACCCUCUAAGGAUUUAAAGUAUAAACUCUCAGAGAAUAAAUGCAUUUUGUAUAUGUCUCAAAGAAUGGUUAUAUGGCUAAAUUACAUGUUCCAAGCUUGGCGUUUCUAAAUACUCUUAAUAACCAAUCUCUUCUGUUUCUUCUCAUCUACUGAAAACAACAGCAUUAUAACAGAAUGUGGUAUCCAUAACAGCAGUAUAAAUUGGGAAGAAUUACUGAAAUUAUGCCAUUGUAAACCAGGAUGCUACAAAACAGUUUAAUGCUUUCUGUCCUAGCAAUUCCAUUAUUUGUAUAUUCCAGCAUCUAAAAGUCUUGGUCAGUCAUGGUAUUUCUGCAAUUGCCAGUAAACACCAGAAAAAAGAAAUGGAUUGGAUGUGUGGGACUGCUGUAUAAAGUUGGGCAAUAAAUCAAGAUUGAUUAAGAUUUAAUCAAGAUUAAGUAAAGAUGGACAAGUGUGUCUCAUGAUAUUCAUUUACUACUCUAUUUAAUUUACAAUAUUACAUGGGGCAGUUUUAUUGCAUAGUAAGGUUUUCAUACUUGUGCUUUCCAGGUUUGGGAAAACUGUACCUUUUCCAGCACAUCUGGAGACUGUGGCUUAUGCUUCACCAGAGAAACCAUAAACAAAAGACUAUAUAUAAAGGCCUCGGAUGAAAAUGAGUUCUUGCCAGCUUAGAUUCUUGUGAAGACACAUGUCACCAAGGACCCAAACACGAAACUGUAUCCGAGAGACAUCCAAAAGUUAGGAGGGAGUAACAGCCAGGGUGAGGCAGAGUAUCAGUGAUGACACUAAGUUAAAAGAUGAAGUAGAAUGACUGCAUUUGAAAUUCUGUAAGCAGGUGGAUAAAUUGAUAAAGCAAACAUUAUUCUUACUUUGAGAAGGUCUGUGCUUGAGGUUGAUUUGCCUCAGUCCCAAUGCACUGGGUCUGUCACUGCUCCACUUAGAGCUCUGCAUAAGAGCAAAGACUUAGUUUGGGCUUUGCAGCUGUGGUGGGGGAAACAAAUGCCAGACUGCAUGUAUGUGUGAUGCUUCUGAGAGUUCAGGAUGGACACUUAUGAUUUAACAUCCAUUUUUCAUUAAUCCAAACAUAGUACACUCCAUUUAAAUGCUGCCUUUCCUUGUGCAGAGGAGUUCCACAUUGCACUUACUGAACUUCAAUUAAACUGUACAUGUCUAGGCAAAGAAUGCUCCUGCAAACACUGUGUGGGCCACCUAUAUUAAAGCAUUGGAAGUUUUUUAAGAUGUUUGUGUUUUAAUCUGUUUUCAGGGGAUGAUGGACCUGAGCACUGUAACAUAACUGCAACCUGACUGUCAACCCCACUGCCUUGAUAACAGGCUAUUCUCCAGGUUGUGUGUUACUAGAGUGAUAUUGUGUAAAAUGAAAACAAUAAGAAGUCAAAUCUUGUAGUGUGAGUGAGAAUUUUAGGUUUGAAUGUGACAAAUCAUGGUGCAUAGUACUCAAUAGAAGGCUUUUUUUGUUUGUUUGUUUAGUCUUAGCAUCAUCUUUUUAGGGUAAGAUGUUGGCUUGGUCACUGUCACAGAUCACAGACCCACAAUACUAAUUCCAGAUAGUUGAUGUGGACCCUCAUAUCGACCCUUCCCUUAAGCCAGAAGAGACAGAAUUCCCCCCCCCCACCUCAGAAGAAUGCUGUGCUGUUGUAAAUGUUGAGGCAGAUUAUUAGGAAGAUUUGCAAGAAUAACUAUUUAAAAUGGUCACAUUCAUUUUAAAGAAAAGAAAUAUAAUUGGUAUUUGCAUAGAAGAAAAUGGAUGAAUUUAAAUUUUAGUUGAUUAUAAUUAUUGUCAUCAUAAUCAUCAUCAUUAUCUUUGUAUGUCUAAAUGACUGAUUCAAAGAAGAAUUUUUAACACAUUUCACAUGUCAGUGCAAUUCUUUUCUGUUUUGUGCUUUACUGCUUGGGGUUUUUCAUUUGCUUUUUUCAGUCUGAACUUUCCAUGGAAGCUAUUGUAAUUUUCUUAAAAGGUGGAAAAAUGUUUCAAAAGAAGUCAAAUCUAGAAAUACUACAUAGGUACAUUUUAUUUUUUCAAUGAAACUUCACCAAACUGUACAGAAAACCUGUGUAUAGAUAUUGUGGGAUGGCACUUUGAAAUGGUCCUAAGAAAGAGAUUAUUAAUAGUGAGGUGCUACCCAAAUCUGAUCUUUUUAACCAGACAAGGGAGGUGAAACUGGGACAGUGGCCUACAGAUUAGUAGGUGAACUCAUUUAAGUGGUAGUGAAUCCAGAUGAGGAUAUCACUCAACAAGUCUGUUAAUAAACUGGACCUGUAGGUAGACAUCGAGCUCCUAAAGGUUCUCAAAGCUACUAAUAGUUUGUUAUUUCAAUACUGUGUAUAGUGAUACAGCUGAUAUUCUGUAUUUCCUGUUAAUGCUGCUACAGUAAAACCUGUGUGCUCAGUAGUAAAUCUAUAUUGUGUGAGUUUAUCAGGAUUGGCAAUUAUGAAGGGUUCAGAUCCACAAUAUCUGUUGGUGAAAGCAGUUUCUUUUUUACUGAGCACCACAUCAAACCCGAGAUGAGCAAUCAGGACUACAAAGGCCUUAUACUGAGCAUAGCAAAAAAAAGUGUCAUAAUUCUCAUUUCCCUGAUGGCUUUGAAAUGACUCUGAAAAGCAUUUUGCAACAGAGGGAUCAUCAUAGCUGGUGUGAUAGCUGCAAUUCCUGAUACCUGGCAUCUGUCACAAACAGGGCUUCAUCUUCCAUAACUUCACCUUUAGCAUGAGUUCAUUUUAUUUGGUUCCUUUGCUCUUCCAUAAGGGCUACUAAGCCAAGUGUUAAAAUCCUGUGUCUGCCCAGGGUUACUGUGCCUUGUGGAAACAAUUGCUCCCUGCAGUCUUGCAGAAGGCAGUUUCCUGAUAGUCUGUUUUCACAUGGUUUCCUAUGUGACAAGGAAUUCCCUAAAUAGGAAUAGGGAAUAUAUAACCUAGUGGAAGCCUUAUUUGCUUUUUAAAUAAAAUGAUGAUGUCUUCUCUCUUAUUUUCUUGGGAUGAAUAGAAGCUGUUCAUGCCACUACACAGAAAGACAGGAGCAACUGUUAAAAAACCUGCUUUGAGCUGUAAAUACAGAUUAGAUGUCUCUGUCCAAGAUACAGACUAAGGGAGAACCUGUUGUAAGGAUUUCCCUGAAGUGCCUGUUAGAAGGACUGACAACUGAGGAGUUGCAGCACAGCUCCCCAACACCUUUGGCCAAAAGACAGACUUUGAAGUUUUCAGUCUGCUGUUUCCUCGCUGUGUCCAGGAAUUUUAAUUUUUAACAUCUACUUUGUACAGAAAAGGAUUGCACCGCAAGAUACUGGGUUCAGAUGAGUUUCUCUUAAUGGGAAAUAUAAACCCCAGGAUUCCUGGCUAACUUCAUGCACUGAAGUGACAACAAUGUGCUCAAUCAACAUUAAUUAUUAAAGUAGCAAGGCAAAUUGGUGUCUGAAGUUCUGUCACUCCAAACAAAACCAUUUUUUUUUUAGUUUUCAACAGUUUUCUUUGAUUCUUUUGCUUAUAUCAAAUUAAACACUGUCUAAAAUAUAAAAGAACUCACAGUCCAAAUUUUUUUUGUAUUUAAAACUAUAUCAGACAUUUACAUUUUAGGAAAAAAUAUUUACAUUCCAAGGUCUGUAUUAAACUGUGCUCUAUUUUAUAUUUGUAGACUUUGUGGAAUUAAAAAAAUAGGGAAGAUCUUGUCAUAGUAUAUUUAAAAUAAUAAUAGAGAUAAUGGAAUCAAGUGCUAAGACAUCCCUUUAGAAAAAAAUUUGAAUAAAUACUUUUGCUUUACAGUCUUCCCCAGUGCAAAAUACUCUAAAAUUCAUAACACAGAUCUAGUAGUGGUCUCACAGGGCACUAAGAGGUUUUGGCAUUGUAAAUACGAGUAAGGAGAAUUUUUAAAAACUCAGACUACAGGAGGGGUAUGGAUUAAAUAAUUAAGAUCACAGGUGUUCCAACCUGUACUUUAAAUUUAUGGCUUGAUCAUCCUUACGCCUCCACAAGUCACCAGUAAUUCCAUCAGAAAGUCAAUGAAGUUAACCUGGCAUAUAAAGCCAGGUUUAUUCCAUAUUUCUAUGUAGGUUAUCAAUGUGUGUCAUGUCAAACUUGAUGGGAAAGUAAGGAAGAGGAAAAGGGUUGAUAAAGUCAAUGUUGCCUGGAGAUGAAGAGAGACAGUUCUUUUCAUGUGACUGUUUUCCACUUUAUCCAGAAGUCCACAGAACAUACUGAGAGUGAUUUUGAGACACGGAGAUUGGUCAAGUUAAAACCAAAACCUGCUCUUAAAUAUUUAACUCUGCUCUCACUCUGUGUUCCUGUGACUGAGACUCAGCCUCAGUUCUGCCGUGGGUUCAGCCUCUGCAGGUGGGGCUUUGGAACGGGGCUGAAACAGCUGCAUGAGUGCCCAGGGAGGGCUGUCCCUGCUGGAGAGAACUGUGCAGGAUCCUGUGGCUGACUCCACUAAAUAUUUACUUUUAUGUAUAAAAACAAACAAACAUUACGUUCACUACGUUUUCUUCAGCAUGUGAAGAAUUCUGACUGAGAGCUGGCAGCCAGUGGCAGUGAGGCCUCAGGACCAGGCUCGCUCUUUGGGGAGUUCACAAAGAGAUGAGGAAUCUGAGGGAGAGGCUUUUGCAAAGUCUGGGUGAAGUCAGGAGUGGGCAGUUGUACAGAUCAGGGCCUGGACAUGUCCCUGCACAUCCCAGACUGACCUCUGAACUCCCCACACAUCCUACACCUCUUACUCAGGCAGCAUUUUGCUCCUGUGAGGGAGAACAUCCUGGACUUGAUCAACUGCAAACAGUAUCCCAAACAAAAGGGUUUACAAUUUUUUACAUUUGCAUUCUAAAUUAAAUACUUCAAACCUUCUCAGGCACAUGGUUUAGGGAUCAAAGGGCCAAACUGCCAUUUACUACCUCAACCAGUUUGGACCAGUUCCAUUGAUUUUUACUCAGAACUCCAGAUGGAUUUCAGUAAGAAUUGGCAGCAUAGAUUGAUAUUAUGUUAUGGCUUUCAGCAGAAAGGUACCCUUUUAAAAGACAGCAUCAUAAAAUUGAUGUACAAAGCAAAAUGCCCAUUGAUCCCCAUUUCUGUCGAUAAGAUUUCUAUAAUUUGAGGAUAGUAAAACAUUGAAAUGUGUAGUUGCAUCCAAGGCAAAAAUACCAUUCACUUCCAUGGAAACAGAAUCAGGCUCAAAUCCUGAAUACUAAGAUAUUAUCUGUGUGAGGAAGUAUUUAAUUCUUUAUUAUUGCAUUACUGGUUUAGAUAUAAAACCCAAAAAUACCUAUAGAAUUUCAAAAUAUAGUGAUUUCUUAAUAUUUACUCUCAUGCUUAUAAAAGACCCGGACUCCUGAAUGUUGUAAAUCAAUUAUCCCUGUGUGUGUGAAAUGCUGUAACAAGAUCAAUGAGACCUGAACACAAGGAGGCAUCUUAGGAUAACAGCUGCAGAUGCACACAUUCCCUGGUAAAAAAUAAAUGAACACACACUGCUCCCCCUGAUGCUUCUCCCUCCCCCCCAGAAAAUCCCUGCCAUUAUCCUGCCCAACUGUAAAUGCAUAAAGGAAAACCAAAUAAGAGCAGGGAGCAGUCAGUGUAUCAGCACAAGCAAAGUACAAUAAAUGGUCACUCUUAGAGCAAGGUGAAAGGAAUGCUGUGCAUUCAGGUUGGAAGUUUGGCUUUGAUGGGACUUAAUGGUCAGACUCUACUUCCAACCAAAUGCUGUGCAGUUAAUGGCUCUAUGGAAAACUGCAAGGAUGGAUCUUUACUGUCUAAAAUACAUAUUGGUUUUAAAGAUGAGCUCAAGAUAAUUACUUUCACAGUAUGAAUAAUUCUGCCAAUUGCAUUUCCACAAGGUAGAUUCAAUAAAAUACUGAAAAUAUUUAUUCAAUAAAUCAAUUACACUUCUUUGGAGCCUGGAUAGCUAUAAAUUGUUUCCUCAUUGAUACAAUUCUGUUUACAAAAACCUACUUUCAAGGAAAUGACUCUUAAGUUUUUUAUUGGAAAAUGCUUUGCAGUUAAAACAGAAGAAUGAGAAUUAAUGAAAAGUCCACAUGAGCCUUAUGUAUAAAUGUACAAAAAAAAUAGAUUUUUUUUUUUGGUUACUUGAAGUAGAAUGUGAUGUCCAUGUUUAAAAAUACCAAAAAAAUGUAAUGAAAAUUAAAUACCUUCUUGUCCCACUAGAUGGUGGUGCCUUCAGAUUAGGGUUGAGAUGCUCAAACAGACAGAGCAGGAAAACUUUUGCUUUCCUUAGCUGACCUGCAAAUGUAGAGAGUGAGAGAUGAGGAUAAUCUUGUUCCUCUGGGGAUAGUAACAAGCAUUUGGGUGUAAUGACUUACUGAAUAUAUUGGAGUACAUGGAAUUGUGUUCACAGUGGUUUGCUAUAAAGUGUGUUUUAACUUCAGUACACAUCUAAUAGUAUUAAUUUUUCUUCCUGAAGAAGAAAAGAUGCAAACAACAUUGAACCUUAAUGAUGAUUGUAUCUCAUGUAAAACAGCCCUGUUACACCAAGGUCCUGCCUUUGCAAUUUUGCUGCCCUCUAUCCUCAAUCAAAAUCCAGAUUAAAGUAGGGAAUCAUUAGCAACAACUGCAUCUUGUACUCAUGUAUUUCACUGGAACAAGCUUAAAAUUAUCACUCCCAUUUUUAUAUGACAAAUGGACUCCUUGCUUUCAGGGAAAGGCAUUUUCACAUGGGUUAAACAAAAAGUGAUGGUGUCUAAGGCUGGCAGGUCACCCCUCCUCAGUGAGAACAGCCAAGGGAAGUCUUAAUGAAUGGGCAAAGUAGAUGGGACCUUGUUUGAGAGUCAUGGUUGUGCUUUAGUUAUCUCAGGUUCCUGUAGUAAAUAGUCCAAUCCUUCCUGCCUCAUGUAAAGCUUGAACUGUGAGCUCAGGGCAGUUCUGUGAACUGAGAACUUGUCUCAAAGGCUGUGUCUGUGUUGGACUGUCGAGGACUUAAAUAUCAUGAUGUACAUUGGUAGUAUGAAAAAUUUAAGAUUAAAAUUAAGGGCUGCUUUAUGGAUGAAUUACUCUGGUCAGAUAAGCUCUAACAUGAGACUUUCCAAUUGUUCUUUUAAAAGAUGACGUAAUGGUACAGAGAACUUAAGGAUGUCUGUAAGUGUCUUGGAAAAGACAAUCAGGAAUCCUGGACCUGUGUUGGAAUCUGUAACUGUUGUUGCUCUGUGUGUUUGAUUGCUAUCACUCUGCUCCCAGGUGGUCACCCCAUUUAUAAUACCCAGGGUCAUUUAGAAAGCAGCCCCCUUUGUGGCACAGUUUGAUUCCUGCUUAUUUUGCUGUGCGUUCCUUCCAUUUAUUCUGUUCCUCCUACUCGACUCUUUCCCUUUGCCAUUCCCACGUUUGCAACAUCUCCUCGGUUUCCCAUUUCCUUUACGAGUCAUGUACAUGAACUGCAUCAACGUGCUGAGAUAUCAAAUUGGUCUGAUUUCCAAGGAAAGGUUAAAGUCCCAGUAGUCCAGAUACUUCCAUGUAAGAACGUCACAGCCAUAAAAGGCUUAAUCUGAGACUUUUUAAUGAGGGGAAUUCCUUUGUAUGUGCAGAGGACUGGGGCAGAAAAAUUAAUAUAGAAAUGGAUUGGAUGCUUGGUUCUUCUGUAGAGCUUCAAUUAUUUUCCAUGUUAGAAUAUCCCUGAGGGUAUUAGGGAGAGAAGAUCUGUUCUUACUUUCUCUGGAAAGGUGGGCAGGACUUUCUGAAAGCCUGAAGAAGCAAAAUUCACUCCAAUCAUUGUAACUCGCUGCCAUUAGGGGUUGAAAUGCAGCAUUUGCCAGGAGUGCAAGUUCUUUAUUUGAUCCCUUUGACUGUACCAGUAUAACUGCCAAUCACAGGAAAUACCUCUAAUAACUCUUCCUUUUACUUAAUAAGGAAUACCACAUCUUUAAAACAUUAGAAACAGAUGUCACUGCAUUACUUCACUGCUGAUGUAUGUAAUAGAAAUGACACACUAAUUAAUUUAAUGCAGUAUAAACGUACUGAUUAUUUAUCAUGGCUGACAAUAAAAUUAUGAAAACAUUCAAUUACAA